UGCCGUUUUUUGCAGUCGACGGUACAGGAGAGCUUGCUUCUUUGCUGACGAGUGGCGGACGGGUGAGUAAUGUCUGGGAAACUGCCUGAUGGAGGGGGAUAACUACUGGAAACGGUAGCUAAUACCGCAUAACGUCGCAAGACCAAAGAGGGGGACCUUCGGGCCUCUUGCCAUCGGAUGUGCCCAGAUGGGAUAGAAGCGUAGGUGGGGUAACGGCUCAGAGCGAAAGACCGCCCGUGUUGGUCUGAGAGGAUGACCAGCCACACUGGAACUGAGACACGGUCCAGACUCCUACGGGAGGCAUCAGUGGGAUUUU
rnacentral:rRNA from 1 species